UCCGUAGGUGAACCUGCGGAGGGAUCAUUACAGAGUUGCAAAACUCCCUAAACCAUUGUGAACGUUACCCUUAACCGUUGCUUCGGCGGGCGGCGCCAUGCCGCCCCUCGGCCCUUCCCGGGCGCCCGCCGGAGGAUACCCAACUCUUGAUAUUUUAUGGCCACUCUGAGUCUUCUGUACUGAAUAAGUCAAAACUUUCAACAACGGAUCUCUUGGUUCUGGCAUCGAUGAAGAACGCAGCGAAAUGCGAUAAGUAAUGUGAAUUGCAGAAUUCAGUGAAUCAUCGAAUCUUUGAACGCACAUUGCGCCCGCCAGUAUUCUGGCGGGCAUGCCUGUUCGAGCGUCAUUUCAACCAUCAAGCCCCCGGCUUGUGUUGGGGACCUGCGGCUGCCCGCAGGCCCUGAAAAACAGUGGCGGGCUCGCUGUCACACCGAGCGUAGUAGCAUCAUUCUCGCUCAGGGCGUGCUGCGGGUUCCGGCCGUUAAACGACCUUCAUAACCCAAGGUUGACCUCGGAUCAGGUAGGAAGACCCGCUGAACUUAAGCAUAUCAAUAAGCGGAGGAAAAGA
rnacentral:sRNA from 1 species